UAGCUUGUCAUUGUUAUUGUCAAUUUGAAGGUUCCAGGAGAGGGGAAUCUUGAAAGAAGAAUUCUAGAAGUUAAUAGGAAAAGGAUCAAGGUAGCAAAGCUGGGUUCUAAGACUUCUUUUCCUACCACUGAAAUUCGUGGAAGUCAUGCUCCUCCCUUUCACGUUGAGCUUUUCCAGAACUACCAACGUCGGCUUAGGAUUGUCGUGGACAGUGAAAAUGAAGUAGAUCUAAUGGUCCACUCCAGGCAUCAGCGGGAUGUUGUUGUCCUUGUGAUUCGAGGCUUUGCUCAACGAUUCAGUAAUACAUCUCUCAAUUCUCUCCUCAAAAUAGGGACAUAGCUAUGGUAAAGUAAUGUAAAGUGAACUGUUUAGCAAAAUAUAUACAUUUGUAGGUUCUUAGUUCAAUUAGUCAACUCUUACUCCUACAUUUAGCUCCUCUAUUUUGCUUGUCAUUAUUUUUGGUGAUUUUAAUUGUUUGCAAUAUAUGUUGUGCAGUGCUGGAAAGGCUGGAGGUGUCAAAAAUCUGUAUAUUAGUAUAUCAAUGAUGAUACUGAGUUGUCUGAGAAA